CCUUGGAAAAACAUUUCGGUGUGUCAAACAGUGGUUUUCACACCAAGUAGCACCUGGAAAUAGAUUUGGCUCUGCGCAUUAUGUACGACCAUAGUGACCGACAGUGAAGUACGAGAAGUGUCAUCGUCAAUGUUCAUCAAAUAAUCAGAGGGUGGACGGCUCACCGGUACGCAAGACGAAGGAUGAAGAGUUCAACAAAGGCUGACUCCAGGAGCAGCUCUUGAUCUGGAGAACAGAAAUCCGAGAAACCCGGAAUGCUCUUGGCCCACUUCCUGAUCACCUCCAUGGAGCCUGUCAGCAGGUGUUCUUCGUUGGGAUUGGAGUCGAUGUGAGCCCUCACGAGAGAAGCGAUCAUGCCGACUGGAGACACCGCGGGCGACGCUUCCUGGACUACUUUUGGCUUGGAGGGCAGGCGAC